UGAACAUCAGCAUCAUCUCUUUAUGGUUAGAACAGUCUUCCUUUUAAAAAAAAUGAGAACAGUAAGUUUACACAUCUUGGAUCAUGUCUGCACUAGAAAGUGAAGUCUAUUUUGUGUGACCCUAUGCGAUAUCAGUCUCCUGAGGAUAACAGGGGUGGCAAGGGAGGAGAUGCUGCAAGCGUUUGCGUACAGUCCUGAUCCUUGCGCUGCUAUGCUGUGUAUUGCAAUGAUGCCAGCGGAGUUAAUAAUGGAGUGGUGUGGGAAAGUGUCCUGCUAUUGUGGAAGAAAUAAGGCAGCCCUCCCCAGAAACCUUGUGCAGAGGAUUGCAGAGUACCUGUAUGAAAGUUUCCUAGCGAUCUCAAUGGAGGAUUCCUAUGUCAUCCCAACGCACAUAAGCAGUCGUUUUGGGGCACACCCACAGCGUAGGUGGAGCAUCCACUGGCAAGCAGAUACCCAGUGCCCAUCAUUCUUUUUUUCAGAUUAAAUCUAUAAUAUAAUGGAAUGUA